rnacentral:rRNA from 1 species
GGACUACGAACGCUGGCGGCGUGCCUAAUACAUGCAAGUCGAACGCUUCUUUCCUCCCGAGUGCUUGCACUCAAUUGGAAAGAGGAGUGGCGGACGGGUGAGUAACACGUGGGUAACCUACCCAUCAGAGGGGGAUAACACUUGGAAACAGGUGCUAAUACCGCAUAACAGUUUAUGCCGCAUGGCAUAAGAGUGAAAGGCGCUUUCGGGUGUCGCUGAUGGAUGGACCCGCGGUGCAUUAGCUAGUUGGUGAGGUAACGGCUCACCAAGGCCACGAUGCAUAGCCGACCUGAGAGGGUGAUCGGCCACACUGGGACUGAGACACGGCCCAGACUCUACGGGAGGCAGCAGUAGGGAAUCUUCGGCAAUGGACGAAAGUCUGACCGAGCAACGCCGCGUGAGUGAAGAAGGUUUUCGGAUCGUAAAACUCUGUUGUUAGAGAAGAACAAGGACGUUAGUAACUGAACGUCCCCUGACGGUAUCUAACCAGAAAGCCACGGCUAACUACGUGCCAGCAGCCGCGGUAAUACGUAGGUGGCAAGCGUUGUCCGGAUUUAUUGGGCGUAAAGCGAGCGCAGGCGGUUUCUUAAGUCUGAUGUGAAAGCCCCCGGCUCAACCGGGGAGGGUCAUUGGAAACUGGGAGACUUGAGUGCAGAAGAGGAGAGUGGAAUUCCAUGUGUAGCGGUGAAAUGCGUAGAUAUAUGGAGGAACACCAGUGGCGAAGGCGGCUCUCUGGUCUGUAACUGACGCUGAGGCUCGAAAGCGUGGGGAGCAAACAGGAUUAGAUACCCUGGUAGUCCACGCCGUAAACGAUGAGUGCUAAGUGUUGGAGGGUUUCCGCCCUUCAGUGCUGCAGCAAACGCAUUAAGCACUCCGCCUGGGGAGUACGACCGCAAGGUUGAAACUCAAAGGAAUUGACGGGGGCCCGACAAGCGGUGGAGCAUGUGUUUAAUUCGAAGCAACGCGAAGAACCUUACCAGGUCUUGACAUCCUUUGACCACUCUAGAGAUAGAGCUUUCCCUUCGGGGACAAAGUGACAGUGGUGCAUGGUUGUCGUCAGCUCGUGUCGUGAGAUGUUGGGUUAAGUCCGCAACGAGCGCAACCCUUAUUGUUAGUUGCCAUCAUUUAGUUGGGCACUCUAGCGAGACUGCCGGUGACAAACCGGAGGAAGGUGGGGAUGACGUCAAAUCAUCAUGCCCCUUAUGACCUGGGCUACACACGUGCUACAAUGGGAAGUACAACGAGUCGCUAGACCGCGAGGUCAUGCAAAUCUCUUAAAGCUUCUCUCAGUUCGGAUUGCAGGCUGCAACUCGCCUGCAUGAAGCCGGAAUCGCUAGUAAUCGCGGAUCAGCACGCCGCGGUGAAUACGUUCCCGGGCCUUGUACACACCGCCCGUCACACCACGAGAGUUUGUAACACCCGAAGUCGGUGAGGUAACCUUUUUGGAGCCAGCCGCCUAAGGUGGGAUAGAUGAUUUGGGUGAAGUCGUAACAAGGUAACC